rnacentral:rRNA from 1 species
GAUGAACGCUGGCGGCGUGCCUAAUACAUGCAAGUCGAGCGAGCUGAAUUCAAAGAUCCCCUCGGGGUGAUUUGUUGGACGCUAGCGGCGGAUGGGUGAGUAACACGUGGGCAAUCUGCCCUAAAGACUGGGAUACCACUUGGAAACAGGUGCUAAUACCGGAUAACAACAUGAAUCGCAUGAUUCAAGUUUGAAAGGCGGCGCAAGCUGUCACUUUGGGAUGAGCCCCGCGGCGCAUUAGCUAGUUGGUGGGGUAAAGGCCUACCAAGGCAACGAUGCGUAGCCGAGUUGAGAGACUGAUCGGCCACAUUGGGACUGAGACACGGCCCGAAACUCCUACGGGAGGGCAGCAGUAGGGAAGUCUUCCACAAUGGGACGCAAGUCUGAUGGGAGCAACGCCGCGUGAGUGAAGAAGGGUUUUUUCGGAUCGUAAAAGCUCUGUUGUUGGGUGAAAGAAGGAU